UAUAAAGUUAACACCCAGACCGAACCUGAAUUUCUGUUGAAAAAACUUAAUACAGAUCUGGCUUCUGAGAU
ensembl:snoRNA small nucleolar RNA SNORD50